rnacentral:lncRNA from 1 species
CUGGCAUGGCCGCCUCCGUCUUGCCUCUAGCAUCACAGGCUGGCUGUCUCCGCUCAUUCCUGGGCAUGGACGAAGCUAACCAUGAGAAGAAUUUAGUUUACAGUUUAAUUGUGAAGCAAGGAUAAUAAUAGUCGCUUCCUAAAACUGAUCCGCUCCUUGUUUGGAGACUGAAACAGUCUUUGUAAGACAAUGAAAGGUCACAAGAUUAGUAUUCUGAGAGGGGCCUGAAUUCUGCUAAAAUGUUGCUAACUUUGGAGGAAGCCAGCUGCCAUGUCACAAAAAGAUUCAGGAAGCCAUGUGGAGAGGCCCACAUCAUGAGGAACUGAGGUCUUUGCCAAUUACCAGCAAGGAAAUGAGGCCUCCUGCCAACAGCCACGUACCAUUUGAGUAAAGAAACCCUGAAGAAGAUUCCAGCCCUAGCCAUUGUCUGCCUGCAACUGUGUAAGAGAUCCCAAGCAUGAACUACCUAACUGAGCCCUGUCAACCCUCAGAAUCUUGAGAAAUA